rnacentral:rRNA from 1 species
CAGCCGCCGCGGGAAUACGAAGGGUGCAAGCGUUAAUCGGAAUUACUGGGCGUAAAGCGUGCGUAGGCGGUGAGUUAAGUCUGUUGUGAAAUCCCCGGGCUCAACCUGGGAAUGGCAAUGGAUACUGGCAAGCUAGAGUGUGUCAGAGGAUGGUGGAAUUCCCGGUGUAGCGGUGAAAUGCGUAGAGAUCGGGAGGAACAUCAGUGGCGAAGGCGGCCAUCUGGGACAACACUGACGCUGAGGCACGAAAGCGUGGGGAGCAAACAGGAUUAGAUACCCGCGUAGUCCCUGUCUCUUAUAC